GGGCUGGAGAGAUGGCUCAGCCGUUAAAGGCUAGGCUCACAACCAAAUAUAUAAGAGUUCGGUUCCCAGCACCCACGGCUGUCUCUCCAGCCACCUUUU
rnacentral:snRNA from 1 species